GUCAGGAUGGCCGAGCGGUCUAAGGCGCUGCGUUCAGGUCGCAGUCCGGUCUUCCGGGCGGGGGUUCGAAUCCCACAUCUGACA
rfam:Ixodes scapularis strain Wikel colony gcontig_1108379841158, whole genome shotgun sequence.